rnacentral:lncRNA from 1 species
AAAGAUGAAAGAAAGAAAGGAAGUAAGAAAGGAAGGAAGUAAGGAAGGCAAGCUACAUACCUUCCUCACAAUUUGCCCACUUGGAAAUUCCUUGUGGGCUCAAGAUCUUUACCCUAAAAUGGUUCUGUUGAAUUUUAUCCUGACAAUGUAAAUUGAUAGCUUUUUCUAAACAGUUGCAGGACAAAGGACACAACCCUAAGUCAUCCGUCUGCUCACUUGAGACAAAUGCAUAUCUGAUUGCUUCCUCUGAUGUAAAAAUGCAGAUUCACUGAGCUACAUGAAUGCAUGAGUGACUAUUAUUCCUCUACCCACCGCCCCCCUAACCCCCCAUCCCUGCCAACAUGUAAAUUGUGUAUUCAGUGAAAGGCUGAUCAAAGACAAAAAAAUAAUGCAACAAUUUUUCUCUUAUCUACCCACAACUUGAAAAAAUUUAUUCCUUUUUCCCCAAUAUCCACCCUUUCCCUUUAAAUAUUGAAGCCCUCAAAAUAAUCUUUGGAGAAAGGCACAGAUAUGUUUGCUUGGUGCACAUAUUUAACCUUGGCAAAAUAAACAUUCUAAAUUCAUUG